rnacentral:rRNA from 1 species
UACAGAGGGGGCAAGCGUUGUUCGGAAUUACUGGGUGUAAAGGGCGCGUAGGCGGCUACACAAGUGGCGGGUGAAAUCCCUCGGCUUAACCGAGGAACUGCCUGCCAGACUGUGUGGCUUGAGACCGGGAGAGGUGAGUGGAAUUCCCAGUGUAGCGGUGAAAUGCGUAGAUAUUGGGAGGAACACCAGUGGCGAAGGCGGCUCACUGGACCGGAACUGACGCUGAGGCGCGAAAGCGUGGGGAGCAAACAGG